GAUGAACGCUGGCGGCGUGCCUAAUACAUGCAAGUCGAGCGAACAGACGAGGAGCUUGCUCCUCUGACGUUAGCGGCGGACGGGUGAGUAACACGUGGAUAACCUACCUAUAAGACUGGGAUAACUUCGGGAAACCGGAGCUAAUACCGGAUAAUAUAUUGAACCGCAUGGUUCAAUAGUGAAAAACGGUUUUGCUGUCACUUAUAGAUGGAUCCGCGCCGCAUUAGCUAGUUGGUAAGGUAACGGCUUACCAAGGCAACGAUGCGUAGCCGACCUGAGAGGGUGAUCGGCCACACUGGGACUGAGACACGGUCCAGACUCCUACGGGAGGCAGCAGUAGGGAAUCUUCCGCAAUGGGCGAAAGCUUGACGGAGCAACGCCGCGUGAGUGAUGAAGGUCUUCGGAUCGUAAAACUCUGUUAUUAGGGAAGAACAAAUGUGUAAGUAACUAUGCACGUCUUGACGGUACCUAAUCAGAAAGCCACGGCUAACUACGUG
rnacentral:rRNA from 1 species